rnacentral:lncRNA from 1 species
UCUCACACAAUGUGUUUGAUUACAAAUGUAUGCUCAAUAUGUGAAUAAAUAAAUCAAGAAUGAAUUUAAAACUCAAUGAAUGUUAUAUUCUCGAUUACAAGCUCAAUGAUAAUGUUGUGAUUCACACUUAUUUGAAUUUGAUUGAGAUUAUUUAUAUUUAGAGCUGAAAACUAGCCGUUAUUGACUUUUUGCUCGAAGUCGGAUCGCCGUUAACUCAAAUUCAGAUUGCCAUUUUGACUGGUCCAAGUUACCGUUGGACAUAAUUUCAAAUUGUCGGAUCGUCAUUUUCAAGAUGUCGAAUCGUCAUUUUCAAGAUGUCGGAUCGUUGUUAGUGUCCAUAGGCUAAUCUUCAAUUCUGUUCGAUGUCAGCUAGCCGUUAUCAAAAUGUCGGUUAGUCGUUUGCUACAGUGAACUAUUUUCCAUAAUUAUAUUUUUGCCCCAAAACUUUAUAAAAUUAUAUUGUGGCGUAAAACGAUAUAAAACUUUUCACAUAAGUCCUUCUCUAGAAUUCUAAGCAACACUUGUUAAUUUCAAAGUUCUCAAAAUUCUUUCAAUUAGACCAUAAACUAGAAAAACAACCAAUUUUAUAAAAUCAUUUUUUCAUUAAAUAUAAAACAUUUAUAAUGUGAAAAAAAUGAUUUAUUUAAAAUGUGUAAAAAAAUAAUUUGAGCUUUUAAAAACUUAAUCAUUCUUAAUUUUGUUUGUUAUCAUCAAAAUCAACAUUAUGAAUACAUAAAUGCUAACACAUAUAUCAGUACAGAUAACAUCAUAAACUUUCUCUUCAUACACAACCAUAGAGGAAGAUUAUAUGUUAUCAAUGUAACAAGCCAACAACUAUAAGUCGUGCUAAGUGUGCUAUGUGGAUUAAUCCCAUCAGAUGAUAAAGCCAAUUGAAGAUUUCUCGACUCUUGGGGAAAAUCAUGCCAUUUAUUGUCAAUUAGCUGCCAAGCCAGUGAAUCUGCCGAGUGGCAAAGCUUGCCAUCUCUAGUUCUUUUAUUUUCAUGCAAUGUUAAGUUCUCAACAGUUUUUGGUAAUUGAAACAUUAUUUUGAAUCUAGGAAUUAUUGGAAAAUACCAUAAUAUCUUUUUAGGCAUCCAUUUUUUUUAAUUUGUUUAGUUCCAUCUUUUCUUAUUUGCCACCUAGAUGCUCCAUAACUUGGGCAUUCAAUAAGAUUUUUGAACUCAUUCUUAUAAAAAAUGCAAUCAUUUGGACAUGCAUGUAUUUUCUCAUACUCUAAGACUAAUAUCUUCAUUGUUUUUUUGGCCUCAUACAUUGACUUAGACUUAUUAUUAUCAUUUGGCAAUAUCUCAUUGAAGACUUCUAAUAAAGCUGAAAAUCCACUGUCAGACCAGCCAUAAAGUCCUUUUAUAUUGUACAAUUUCAUUAAACCCGAUAGCUUUGAAUGCUUUGAACCCAGAUAUAAGGUUUUUUCAGCAUCUUCAAGCAUAUUCUUAAAGGAACUAGGAUCUUUGUCACAGUGCUUGAAAUCAUCAUGAACCAUGUCACACAAAUUACUGUAAUUCAGACAUUUAAAAUGCUGAAUUUUUUACUGGUCUUGGCACUUUGCAAAGGUAGGUUUUGGGUCUACCUCACCAUGUCAAUUCCAAACUAAAUAAUUUUUUAAAAAACAUUUUUUAAAUAGAUGUAGCCUCACUUGUUCAUGAGUCAAAAACUUCAUAUUACAACAAGAGGUACAUGUGCAUCUAAUCGACAUUCUAUUUUCAGAAUUAAUAAUGGCAAACUCCUCAAGAAUUCAUCAACCCCAUCAUAAUACUCAUCGGACAAUCAAUCACAGAAUAUCCAAGUUUUGUCUAUAACAUGUAUUUUGACCUGUUGAUUUAUUAGAUGUUGUUAGCCUAAUAAGUUUAAUUAAAUUUGCACAAAUAACUUCAAACUUUUAGGUUUAAAACAAAAAUACAAAUUACAAAACAAAGCAAAGUUCUAUUUGCUUUAAGUCACUUAAAUACAUGUUCACAUCAACAAGUCAACAAAACAUGCCAUACACAUUUUUCAAAACUUCACUUUCAUAUUAGAAUAAACAUAAGUAUAUGUAUAUCAAAUAAACAAUCAAUUUAAUUCCAAAAUAACCUAUGCAACAAAAACAAAACUAAAAUUGUGCAUGUAAAUAAUUAAAAAAUGUUAAUACAAGUAAAACUCAGAACACAACAAUAAUAGAAACUAAAAAAAAGUGAGUGAUUUGUAAGACUUACCUGAUGAAAACAGCUUUUAUACCCAAUACUUUUGUGAUUAUUCAGAAGCGAGAGAUAGAACUGAACAUAUUGAUUCAAGUGAUUAGAAAAGAAAAAUGCAAGAUUCAACAAAAAGUAAUAACAAACUAAAUAUUUUGGUCGAAAGUCAAUAAUGUCAUAUUAAAAUCCAAACAAAAGUUUCCUAUACAGGAAACAAAAGUUCCCUUUUAAAAAAAAAAAUUAUUAAUUUAAAGAUCAUGCAACCCAAAAAAAAAAAGACAAGCUACCUGCCGUAGUCAAUAAUCAAUGUUCAAUUAUUCACGUCUUAUUUGUUGCAUUUACAUUGACAUUAUAAUCCAUUAAAUCCAAUGAAAGUGCAUAUGAAAUUAAUUAAUGGUGUGAAAUAUCUAAUAAGUCUCCUAAACUACAUGCCAUAAUUAAAUUCAUUCUCUAAAUUUGCAAUUUUGUGAAUGUGAUGAUAAAAUCAUAAGCAUUACUAACAAAACUCCAUAGAAUGAAAUGACAGAAAGUGUCAGGGAGUUACAAACAAUCAAGUUUACUAAAAGAAUUAAGAAUUUUAACGCCCAUUCUAUAGUUAAAGCGCAAUAAAACAACAUGUAUGAGCAAAAUAUAAACUAUAAAUUACAAAACUAAUUAUUAAGAAGAAAAAAAUGGUACCUUUAGAAACGAAUGGAUCGGAAGGGAGAGAGAGAACCAAAUUGUUAUAGAGACGUAUUACAUUGGUUCGGCCUUGGUUGGGAUUGACGAUGGGGUUUGAUUAGAAUGUGCAAUAUCAUGGAUUUCAGAGUUUUGCUGUUUACUUGGCUUUGACAGAGAAGAUGAAUCCAAAGGAAAGAGAACCAAAUCAUGAUAGAAACAAAUUGCUUUGCUUCGGCCUUGGUUGGGAUUGACGAUGGGGUUUGAUUAGAAUGUGCAAUAUCAUGGAUUUUAGGGUUUUGCUGUUUACUUAUCUUUGACAGAGAAAACGAAUCGAGAGGAGAAGAAUGAGUUCAUGACUUAGAAAAAUAUGUAGCGUUGACUUUUAUCUACGGUUUGGUUUAAGACAAUGUGUUUAACUUAUCUUUUAGGUCUUUUCUUUUUCUUUUCUUUUUUUAUUGAAACUACACUGUUUCUAAUUGGAAACUCGAA